rnacentral:rRNA from 1 species
GUCGAACGCGAAAGCUCCCUUCGGGGAACAAGUAGAGUGGCGCACGGGUGAGUAACACGUAGGUAAUCUACCUUUGGAUUGGGAAUAACACCGAGAAAUCGGUGCUAAUACCGAAUAAUGCAGCGGCACCUAAUGGUGACAGUUGUUAAAGCGGGGGAUCGCAAGACUUCGCGUCUAAAGAGGAGCCUGCGGCGGAUUAGCUAGUUGGUAAGGUAACGGCUUACCAAGGCGAUGAUCCGUAGCCGGCCUGAGAGGGCGGUCGGCCACACUGACACUGACAUACGGGUCAGACUCCUACGGGAGGCAGCAGUCGGGAAUUUUGGGCAAUGGGCGAAAGCCUGACCCAGCAACGCCGCGUGAAGGAUGAAAUCCCUCGGGAUGUAAACUUCGCAAGAACGGGAAGAAUAAGUCGGUGCUAACACCAUCGGCGAUGACGGUACUGUUUGUAAGCUCCGGCUAACUCCGUGCCAGCAGCCGCGGUAAUACGGGGGGAGCAAGCGUUGUUCGGAUUUACUGGGCGUAAAGGGCGCGUAGGCGGCCACCGCAAGUCAACUGUGAAAUCUCCGGGCUUAACUCGGAAAGGUCAGCCGAUACUGCGGGGCUAGAGUGCAGAAGGGGCAACUGGAAUUCUCGGUGUAGCGGUGAAAUGCGUAGAUAUCGAGAGGAACACCUGCGGCGAAGGCGGGUUGCUGGGCUGACACUGACGCUGAUUGUGCGAAAGCUAGGGGAGCGAACGGGAUUAGAUACCCCGGUAGUCCUAGCCUUAAACGAUGAAUGCUUGGUGUCU